rnacentral:rRNA from 1 species
UACGUAGGGCGCGAGCGUUGUCCGGAAUCAUUGGGCGUAAAGGGCGCGUAGGUGGCCCGGUCAGUCCGUGGUGAAAGCGCGGGGCUCAACCCCGCGUCGGCCAUGGAUACUGCUGGGCUUGAGCACUGUAGAGGCAGGCGGAAUUCCGGGUGUAGCGGUGGAAUGCGUAGAGAUCCGGAAGAACACCGGUGGCGAAGGCGGCCUGAGCUGGGCCAGUCGGUGAC